AGACAGAUGUUGAAAUCCCACGGGGCUUCAACCUUGGAACUGCAUUUKUAACUAGCCSAGCUAGAGUAUGUCUAGAAGGGGUGUGGAAUUCCGCGUGUAGCAGUGAAAUGCGUAGAUAUGCGGAGGAACACCGAUGGCGAAGGCAGCCCCCUGGGAUMAUACUGACGCUCAUGCACGAAAGCGUGGGGAGCAAACAGGAUUAGAUACCCUGGUAGUCCACGCCCUAAACGAUGUCUACUAGCUGUUGGGGCCUUCGGGCCUUA
rnacentral:rRNA from 1 species